UUUAGUUUAGUGAACAAACCUGUGGCACCAGGACAAUGACUGGGAGAGAGAUGUUGCAGGGAUCUGUUUAUCCUCCCUCAGGCUCAUCAGGCUCGGGGUGUUCCGUUGCCACACACUCGGUGCAAAGUCAAAUAAUGUUUUUUUUUUUCUUUUAAUUGCCAGCAUUUUUGAACUUUUAAGUAAGCAUCUAAAAGAGAAGCUCUCCUGCCUCUACCAACUCCCACAGAGAGAACAUUUUGAGUUUAGCAUCCCUACAGUAGAUGCAGCAUCUCACAGCUCCGCGGUAGUGACAGUGCCAUAAAAAGAAGAUGUGAUGAAAAGGGAUGCAAACUCUUGAUUUGCAUGCCGUGCAUUCUCACUGGUGCCCAGAACAGAUCACAGAGCAGAGGACAGAAACUCAGAGACUUGCUGGAUGCAGCACUGGGGUCCCAGGCAGAAACUGCAUCCCUAGUUCCUCAGCACGGAUGAGCGCAGGCAUGGGAAGCUGCCCCACAGCUGAAUUAGUGUUUUCCUAGUCUCCAACAGCUUCCUGGCUGACACAGAUGCUACACCUGCUCUGUGCUGCUCUGCCAGGCCCUCAGUGCCUACAGUGGAGUGCCAGGAAUGGAGAUUCCAAAACUUCCAGCAUGAUCUUCACGUGAUGCCAACGAUGGUACGGCUGCACCCACUCAGGGAUUUCUGGAUGUCACAAAAAUGGUCACCUAUUGUAAAUAGUCAACUACUUGCACUGGAAUCUAGUACUGAGUAUGCAAUUAUGCAUGUUUUUAUCAGGUCACUGAAUUAAUUCCAUGGGCUGCAGCAGUUCAUUACACACACAAAGAGAGAUGGACACUUUGUCUGAUACAAUUAUCCUCCAAUCUAAGUAACCGCUGAUAAAGAGCUUCAUUCUCUGAGCUGCCACAAACUGAAGCUGCUCACCUUUAUCCUGGAAUUCAGGGCCCCAUUCCACUGCCGCUUCCCUCAUCAAGUGAUCCUUGUCUCUCCAGGCUGCUGCAUUAUUAUAUAACCACCCAUGUGCAAAAGCUGGAUGCAAACCCAGCUCAAGAGCCAAGCACAGCCACUUUCAGGUGUCUAUUUGGAGAGAGGUGCCAACUCCCAGCUGACCAAUUCCCACUGCCAACAGCCUCCAAGUGUCACAAGUGUGAUUCUCCCCUGCCUUGAGCUCCACAGAGUCACUUCUAUACCUGUGAAAAUCAGGAUGGAGGAAUUUGACAACCUCUUUGCAGGAGUGUGAACAGCACACAGGAACACCAGAGCAGGUCUCCAAAGCAGCACGUUGGCAUCAGCCUGAGGUAAAGUGAAUCCUCCACCUGGAUCAGAUUGAUUCCCCCGAGGUGCAGCAUUUAAAUGUGCAACAUUUGCACAUGCAGGGCACGAUGCACUGGAGAAUUAGGCCUGCAGUUGAUAAAAGACACUAAAAUUACAAUGAAAAAGGUGGGAUGGAGAGAGGAGAAAAUGGUGUUUGAACAGCAGAGUCCAAGAGAACACAUUAUCUUUUUGAAGCUGCUCACAUUCCAGUGAAGGAGCUUUAGCCUUUCCUUCAGGAAGGGGGUGAAUUUCUCCCAGUGUGCCUGACCAGAGAUUAACAGAAAACACAAAGGUCAAAUAUCAUGAGUAGCAAUACUUAAUACUUGUUCAAACCCCACUAUUUAAUGUGCACAUAAGGCCUUAAGGUGCAUUCUGGCAUAUGAAGCCUGGAACAAAAUCAGUGCAGAGGUUACUUCAGAUCCAAAAGAUCAAUGUGGUGCUGCUGCUACCUGGAGAAUUGUUCCUACCAAGAGGCAGGAAUUCUUCAGACACAGGAACAUCCUCUCACUAACACCACCUUUCAGAACCCAAGUCAUCAAUUCUCUGCCACAAAACGUCCCCCUUUUACUCCCCAGAGGAUUCAGUGUCUUCCUUAAAGUAGCAGAAAUCAUCUAGGCCAACUGGGCAGGGAGCCACCAGCCCAGCAGUUCUCAAGGGCUACUAAAUACAAGUUUCAGGAGGGAGUUUUACAUAUAAGGUGGGUAUUUAAGUUAUAUUUAAGAGCAUCACAAUGCACAUAACCAGGAGUGAUGAACACAGGCAGCUCCAUAGGACGUAUCUCGUGUCUCAAACAUUUGCUGACCUUCAUUGCUGAGGACAGUGACAGAUGAGGUCAUUCCAAGGCUUCUUUCCAAGUUCCUCGUUCCAAGGCUUGGACUUCAUUUUCAAGGGCUGCAUUUCCUUUCCAUGAAGGUCAAGAGGAGAAAAGACAGCAUAGGACAUAUCACUUAAUGGAGUUUCAUAAGAUUCCUGAAGGAGAUCCAUCCAGGGAUGGGGCAGUCACAGCUUCUCUGGGCAACCUGUGCCCAGGGCAUCACCACCCUCUCAGGGAAGAAUUUUUUUCCCUAAUAUGUAAUCUGAACCUACCUUGUUCAAUUUGAAGCCAUUCCUCUUUGUCCUGUCAUGACACACUCUUGUAAAAAUAACUCUCUGUCUCUCUUGUAGGCUCCCUUUAUCAUUAUUAUCAUCUUUAGAGGAUGGUCAAGGAAGAGGAGGGAUGAAGUUGGCCAUUCUUCAUCUUUGGAGACACAGUUUCCAGCUCCUGAGUAAUCAUCUGCUGAGAUCAGGAAGAGAAACAUCAUAACAGCAGGCAGAAAAAAAUCAAAAUUAAUUAGGAAUUCAGAGAGCUGGAGCAAAGGGCUUAGGCAAAUAUGGGGAACAUAAGCACCAGGAAUGUGAUCUUGUCCAGUUCUUUCAGUGAAGGGCCAGACUCAUUAAGGGAUAAGAACCAGGGUUCAUGUUCACAUGGUAUAACUGGGGUGGAACGUGGCUUCUUUGACCACAGAAUGUAUCUCAUGAGCUGGUGAUGAGACGAGCGCUGCCUCCUGACAAAGGAAGAACACCUUUGCUUACAAAAUUCCUCCUGGAGGAAGAUUUUAGCUGCUCAUGAAGGAAAGGUGGACAGAAACUUUUGAGGAAAAAUUCCUUCAUAGGAAAGGAAUGACAAGGAUUGGAACAGGCUGCCCAGGGAAGUGUUGAGGUCACCGUCCCUGGAGGUAUUCAAAGGUGUUGAUGGGGACGUGGUUUAGUGGUGGACUCGAUACUGUUGGGUUAAUGGUUGGGCUCAGUGAUCUUGAACAACUCUUCUAACCUAAAUAAUUCCAAAUUCAAGGUGUGUGUAAGCACCAGUGACUUUUGCAAGGACCUAAAAUCAAAGCCAUUCAUGAAAAGGCCCUGAAAGGGAUGAAGUCCAUGAAUGACUCAAUCCAUUGAACAAGCCUGAUUAUUCCCCUUUUAUUUCCUAUCUUUUUGCAUCAGCACAGACAUCUCACAUCAAGGUCACAAGUUACUGGUGCAGCUGCUGUGCACUGGUUUGUUCAGUGCUUAUCUAGGCUUAUUAUUUAUAGGGAGGGUCUGAAUACAAGUGUCCAGGUAAUGAUAGAAGAGGAAAGGAACACAUUGGGGACUAAAAAUAGAUCACUGAUAUAGAAGCAUCGGUAGAUUAAAUCAUUUGGGGGUAAUGGAAGAGUCACACAGGUUGCAGGAGCUGUUGAUUUGAGGGAUUUGAGGGAUUUUUGUAGGAAACUACAGCAGUUAAGGGAAGCUGUCCCUCAGAGAAAGGGCACACACACCUCCCCACUACACAGAGGAAUCCAGAUGAAGUAUAAAAUUGUAGUAAGAGAUUGAACUAAGUGGAGAAUUGACCUCACAAGAACAAAGCAUGCACAGAUUAUGUCGCAGCACUGCAGAUAAUUUCUGAAGGAAAUAGGGGCCAACGCUGGAAGCCGAGAAACGAAAAGAAGUUCAGCCUGCAAAAGGCACCAGUGGGAAUUAAUCUGUAAGUAGGAGGUGCUGGGAGAGUCUUGUCCCACUUCCCAACAGGAAGGAAAGCUACAGAUUAUACUCAGUAGAAUAAAGAGUAUUUUAUGUGGGGUUUUUUUCCUCAGCCUUCACUGGAAAGACCUGUGGGGAGCAAGGGACUGGUGUUGUUCAAACCAAGAAGGAGAUCCUGCCCUAUAACUGGGUAGGAUAUAACAGAAAAGUCAAUGUUUUCAAAUCAAUUAACCCAAAAUAAUACACUGAAGGACAGUCUGAGACAACAUCCAGUCUACCUGAGCAUUCAUGGAGAAUGAGGGAAACUCUAGCAGGUUGGAAAGAGUGAAUGCAGUACCUGUCUUUAACAUGGAGGAUGUUUGGCAGAAAAGGGAAGAGCAACUGGUGAAUUAUGGACCACUCACCUUAACUCAAGCUCUUUAAAAAAUAAAAACUGCUUUAGGCACCAGAAAACACAAGGCAAGAGCUGCCAGAAUGGCUUUAUCAAGAGCACACUGCAUUGAACCAGCCUAAUUUCAUUCCACAGUAGAUCAACACAGGCUAAGGAAGAAGCUGAGAAGGUCAGAUAUUUUGAUUUUAUUAAGACAUUACACCAUCUGCCACAGUUUUCUUUAUAAAGAAAGAGGGAAGCUUAGUCUAGAACGAGUUACCCAGUCAUGGUUACAAAACCAGCUGUAAAACUCUGGCAGGGGAGGGUGAUCAGGGGCUCAUGGACAGCAUGGAAGGAUGUGUUGAGUUGGGUCUGUAUUGUCCAAUUCUGCCUUAGAUGAAUUGAUGUUCUGAAUGGUGGAAUCAACUACACUUGUAAAGUAUGCAAGAAUUUUAGAGGGUAAGAUUAGCACUCAAAAUUAUCUUAGAAAAGCGAAGAAAAGACCAGAUUCAAUUCCAACAGCUACACAGACUAUUCCCCUAAAACAAGAAUAAUUGGCUACAAAACCCCAGAGGAAUGGAAAGAACCAAAGAACAACUCACCUUCCCCAAACAGGCUAAAUCUUGCAUAUUCCCUCCUGGAAUAUCUGAAUCUUUCUUAUUCUAGGGAGUCAGGCACAGGAGGAGCAGUGCAUCCCACUCCUGACAGAGACAACAAGGUUUAAACAGCUGUGCUUGAAAACGCCUUCAUGACUCUUUGCCACCCCAGAGCCUCUGCUUUAAAUGGCUUCCAAAUUGUUCUUAUGUUGCUUUGAGCCAAACGUCUCUUCAAGGUGUUCAGCACUUCAGAAAUGUAGGACAGAUGUUUUGUCAGCUGUUUGUGAACUACAACAGACUUGUGUCUGCCAGAGCCCCGGGAGAGGAUCUUGAGAGAGAACGAAACAUGUUUGGCUGCCUCGCUGAGACAUUUGGUGGAGGAGGAGGAGGUGAGAGGAGGCCUUUACCAAGAAAGGCUCCAGAACACUGACUGAGUCACCCCAGAAUCAGGACCCCAGGAAUAAUUGUGACUGGGGAGGAGCCCUCAUGGCAAUUCUAAAAUGUCAUUGUCUUGAAGGCCCCUAAAACACGUGGGCUGCCUGGAGCAGGCUGGGGAAAGCAACAGAGUGGAAAAGCAUCAGAGCACAAAAGCAGAUUCUAAUAAGUGCAGCACUAAAAAAAAAAAUCUUCUCAGUCCUUUUGAGUCAAGUGAAUUAGAGCAGCUGAAUGUUCCUUUCUCAUUUUUGGGCGGCGAUCACAAAAAACAGAUGUUAGGCUGUGUUAAUUUUUGUCACUGGCAUCCUGCCCCCCCUGGCAAGAUUAAAACAACUCUUGGCAUCCUUGGAGCAGCUGGGCGGCAAAGCUGCUUCCUUUACUCACACAAUGCCACUCUGAAUAACCUCUAAGCCUCAAAUCUUGGUGCUUUGUAAUCCAUGUCCUGGCAGUUUUGUCCUCCACUCCCCCUGUUCAAACAUGGUAUUCCCCAGUCCUUACAGAGCCUGGUAUGUAUCUUUAAUGCACCAUAAGUGGUGAUGAAAAAUAGAUGUGUAGAAUCCACGACAUCUCUGACACUCAGUUAACUUUCCCCGCAGAAGGAAGGACAUUUUCAGGGUUGUCUUUGCAGUUUAACUUCUUAAGAUAUUUCUGUAUUCAAGCUUCAUCAAUAAAGCAGGAAAAAGACUUCAUUGUUGGGCAUUUUACCUGGAUGUCUAAUAUAAAACACGAUUUUACAUGAACACUGAAUGCUUCUGACAUCAGACAUAUGAUUUAAAAGUGAAAAAGGCAGUCAUAAAUCAUUCGAAGAAUGAGGGCUAUUAAGUCCAGCAUUGGUAGGUGGAAUGAGAAAAGGGUGACUUAUUUUCUUUUGCUAGAAGCUAAAUGUGAUGUCUUCUGUGAAUAAAAAAUAAAAAUAAAAAAUAGAAAUAGAAAUAAAAAUAAAAAU